UACGUAGGGUGCGAGCGUUGUCCGGAAUUACUGGGCGUAAAGAGCUCGUAGGUGGUUUGUCGCGUUGUCCGUGAAAACUCACAACUCAAUUGUGGGCGUGCGGGCGAUACGGGCAGACUGGAGUACUGCAGGGGAGACUGGAAUUCCUGGUGUAGCGGUGGAAUGCGCAGAUAUCAGGAGGAACACCCGUGGCGAAGGCGGCUCUCUGGAACGCAACUGACGCUGAGACGCGAAAGCGUGGGGAGCAAACAGG
rnacentral:rRNA from 1 species